CAACGUCGGUGGAGACUUUCUCGGCCAGUGUCAAAUCUGAUUUUGGCAUUGAGGUCGGCGUAACUGAGCAUAAACAUGCCCCUGAAGAAUUAGGACACUUCUCAGCGAGUCGUCUGCCUUUUGGGGGUACACAGGAAGUCUGUAUUCAGUACCCAUGGGAUGCUGUGGCUGUGACACGUGUUUUCUGUGACAGUCAUUUGCAUUUCUCCUCAUCAUUGGGCGUACCGUUCCGCUGACUCAAUCAGAAGUGCCCAUCUCGGAAGAUGAAACACUUCCAUUGAAGGACAUCAGAGGGGAAUAAAGGACAGUGGACGUUCCUGUCCCCCCGCAUUAAUGGCUUCACCGCCUCGGGGGAUCCAGGGGAUGUAUGACACCCCAAAGAUGCAGUGUUGUCCGGGAGACUGCAGUCCUCACGGUUUUAUUUGCCACACAUCGUGGGUGAAAGAGACGGAUUUGACCUUCUUUUGCAAGGUUCAGGAAAACCCUUUGCAAAAUAUGCUGAUGCUUUUCUUUGAUUGCAGAAUUGCAUUAGUCUCACUACUGAUGGUAGAAGUGUGUUGGGCUGGUCCACAUGGCUCCUCAGCACACCGUGGGCUCCUGUUAAAAAAAAAAAAAAGUGUAGGGAGUUUCCUGGUGGCCUCAUGGUUGGCGACGUGGCAUUGUCACUGCUGUGGCUUGGGUUCCAUCCCUGGCCUGGGACCUUCUACAUGCCUCGGUGCAGUGAAAAGAAAAAAAAAAAAGAAAAAAAAGGAAAGUGUAAUUCCUAUGAUUAGGAUUGAGAGUCCAGGAAAAUUUUACCCUUGCCAUUACCUGAUUUGAAAAAGAAAGGUCGUCGGAUUUCCCCAGACAUUGUUUGAGGAAAGUCAACAAACAAAAGCGUCAUUCAGGUUUCUUUCCUGAUUCUUCUGAGACAAGCGGGGUGUCCCAUCUCUGUGUUCUUAGUGCUCUCUGCACAUCCCUUUAUCAUGACCCUGGGCCUACCGCCCUGGAAUUCAUUGUCUGCAAGUCUUUCUCUGGUUCUGGACUGGAGAGCAGAAACCACGUCAUACUUCUGUUUGCACCCCCAGCACUUAGCAAAGAAAGGAAUACAUACUGGCUGUAAAAGCCCUGAAGAAACCCUUGAGCGGAUUACUGACUGGCCACAGAAUUGGAAAGAAGCUUGAGUACCCAGUCAGGAAUCGUGUGCUUGGCGAGGACACCGUCAGCGAGCUCUGAUGCUUAGGCUGAAAUGCUGACACGAAGUGAAGCAGCAUGGAAACCAGGCAUUUCCUCUGGAUAAGGAGUGUAAACUCUUUUCAGUAUUUGGAGCGGAUCGACUCCUGAUUCUAGCAGCCUGGUAGAAGGAGGGAGGUAGGGAGAGCUUAUCAAACAGCUGGUUGGGCUCACAUGAAUCUAUAUGCGGUUUUCUGUUUGUUGGUUUUGUGUGUGUGUGUGUGUGUGUGUGUGUGCUGUGCCUGCAGCCUGUGGAAGUUUCCGGGCCAGGCAUCUAACCUGCGCCACAACAGUGACAAUGCUGGAUCCUUAACCUCUAGGCCACCAGGGAACCCCUGAAUCAGUAUGUUUUGAUGCCUCUACUGCAGAUGCUCAACCAGAGGCACUGAUCAGGGCCCACUUGGAGUUAAUCUGGUCACUGCGGAAUGCCUUUCAAAAUGGGAAUACCCCAGGCUUCAUGGAUACACUUUCGGGAAUAGUGUGUUUAUGGGAUCACCCAAGGAUGACCUGAUGCAAAGAUUUUAAGAAGUCCUGGAAAAUUCUGGCUUGUUACCUGGGAGAAAAUCACCAUGUACAUAAAAAUGAAAGUAAUUGCUAAGUCCCCUGUCACCUGCUUUCCAAAGAGGCAGGCCACUUGUCACCCUCAAAAUGAGAGUGCUUUGAGCCUUCUUAAGUUCAUUAUACUUUCAACACCUCCCUUUCUUCCUUUCUUCCUUCCUUCGUUCCUUCGUUCCUUCCUUCCUUCCUUCCUUCCUUCCUUCCUUCCCUCCCUCCCUUCCUUCCCUCCCUCCCUCCCUCCCUCCCUUUCUUCCUUCCUUCCUUCCCUCCUUCCCUCCUUCCCUCUUUCCUUCCUUCCCUCUUUUGCUCUUUCUUUGGCUGUUUUUUUACGGCUGCACCUCCCACUUGCAGAGGUUCCUCGGCCAGGGAUUGAACCUGUGCCACACCUGCAACUGAAGCCACUGCAGUGACAACACUGGAUCCAUAACCCUCUGACCCACCAGGAAACCCCUCCCCACAUAUUUCUGACAUGAAACUCUCCGUUUCUGAGCCAAUGCAUCACCUACAUGGUGAAGAAAAAGAGCAGCAUCUGGAGUUGGACUCUUGAACAGGAAGCUGACUUUUGUAAUAUGAAGCAGCUACUGAUUUCUCUGUGUGCAUUCAGAGGAGCAUAAACCACCUGGCUGAGUUGAGUUGUGUCUAUCCAUAAAACUCCAGAUGGCCCCAAGACACCCGCUAUGCUUACUAAUCAAAAGCACUGUCAUCCACGUACCGGCUUAAUACACAGAUUGACAAACGCACGCAGUUAUCGUGGGACUAGGGAAGGUUUAUCACCGUGCCAGCUCCCACGCCUUUACAAUUCGUAAUGUCUACAGACCACUUUGGGUAUUUUUCUCCAAGAAUAAAUCAGUCCCUUUAAUCUUGUUAUCAUCGAUGCAUCGCCGAGGUAUUUUGCUCUGUGCUUCUACCUGUUUACAAGAUGAAUGCAACUCUUCUUUUCGGAUCGCAAACCAGCAUAUGAUGCAAGAACCAACUUGCAACUUGAGACUCCUGGAAAUCCCAUCACACAGCCAUCAGUGUUUUCAGUAAAUGAAUAGGAAUUUGGAACUAUGUUGCUGUCACCAAACCAGAUCUUAGAGAAAAAUUUCCCUGCCAUUGGCCCUUGGCGGUGUUGGUGUUGACCGCUGAACCUGGCCUUGCUUCAGAGAUCUCUGUGCCUUCUGCUUGAAGGAGGGGAGAUGGUCUCUGCUGUUCUCCACCGUCCCCUUUAAAGGAAAUCUUGCAGUAAUGAAGUCGACGUGUAUCCAUGAGGACACGGGCUUGAUCCCUGGCCUCACUCAGUGGGUUAAGGAUCCGGUGUUGCCAUGAGCUGUGGUGUAGCUUGCAGAUGCGGCUCAAAUCUGGCAUUGCUGUGGCUGUGGUGUGGGCCGACAGCUGCAGCUCCCAUUCGACUCCUAGCCGGGGAACCUCCAUAUGCUGCUGGUACAGCCCUAAAAAGAUGGGGGGGGGGAGGGAAAUCUUGCAAAUAGUCCACUUUACAGUUUAUACCAGUAGCAGUGACUUUUUUUUUUAUAUGACUUGCAUUAUGGCGGCUAUAUUUUUCUGAAUAUUGAAAAAUGGGAGAGUCUUGAACAUGUAAUAACUUUGGACAGCAUAAUAUAUUAUGCAUAAGCUACAGUGGAAGAAUAAUUAAUCGUCUAAUACAUUUCAUCUGAAUAUUGUUUGUCCAAUUAUUUUUAUAUUUUGGUUCUUCUUUGUAUUCCUUAAUCCCCCUCCAAAAAAGAUGUAUUUUAGGAAUAGGUAACUCUGACAUUGACUAGUUCUAAUUAUCCAAAUAGACACUUCUGAGAUGAUUUUUAAGAUGAGGCCCUAAAAGGAAAAAGAAGAAAGUUAGCUUUUGACUUUUGCACAAGCAAUUGAGUUACACUUCCCAGGAAUAAAACUUUUCUUUUUUUCAACAAAAUGUACACCCUAAUAGCCAUGAUAUGAUCAAUUCCAGAUUUCAAAAUGAUGGGGAAAUCAUAUAUUAUUAUUUUUAAUUUAUUUUAUUGAAGUGUAGUUCAUUUGCCAUGUUGUGUUAAUUUUAUUUACUUAUUUACAAUGUAUUUUAUUGACGUAUCCUUGAUUGACAAUGUUGUCUUACCAGGAAAUCAGUAUAUUAAAAUCAUUUCAAGAAGCAUUACUUUUAGAGGUGCCUGCAGUAUUGAUAGUAAAUACCUUUCUACAGUAGAGAACUCAUUAGAAUCAGUUUUCUAAAUGGCUUGAUAGGAGACUACAGUGAUUUUGUUGCUGAAAUUCGGCCUCUGUCUGCCGGUGCUGAAUUGAAUCGCAGAGGCAGAGUUUUGGGUAAAGGAGAAAAAAAUAGCUGUAUUGAUUUGCUCGGCAAAGGAGGGUCACAGCGGGCUAAUGCCCUAAGGACUAAGCCCCCCAUUAGAAAGAAUUAUGAGGAGUUUUAUGGUAAAAAGGAGAAAUACGGGGUUUCAGAUAAGGAUUAGGAUUGGGGCAAAUACACCUCCUUCUUUCUUUGAGGGGAAUCUUAGUCGUUGAAGCGGGCAUCAGGAGAUCUCACUCUGAUUCUGGUGGGGGUCUGCUGGGUUAUUGCCGAGAACAACAGUCCUGGAGAAAAGGGUCUAGUGAUCAGAGAUGAGAACAAACCAGGGAAGCUCCCGAAAAACAUCAUGUGCUCUUCAUCUUCAACCCACAGGCCAUUAGGCUCAGGGAGCCUCAUCCUUAGCUCACAGGUGAUGCGUUUAGGGCGCAGUAAAGCCACGGAGAAGGACAAGGAAGGACUCUAAGCUGUCCUAGACGGCUCCUCCCUGGUUUCUGCCUCCCUUCCCUUCCCUGAUCAGCACCUGUCUGAACCUGCCCCUGGGAACUCAGAGAAAGUCAAGGAGGCUGAUCGAGGCCCAUGUCCUAAGAAUAAGAAAUGGGGGACACAGAAAGGCUCGUGUGUCCAGGAGCCCCACAGGGCCGUGUCCAGUUUGAAUUGCAAGACCUGGGAAUGUGCGUCUUCAGCCCUUUAAUAAGAUUCGAGGAGAGAUGUGGCUUCCUAUCUCUAGAAACCUGGUUUCUCACAGUAAUUUUGAAUAUUCGUUUAGAUUUCACAGACCUGUGUGUUCUGCGAAGUUCAAGAUUACAGAUAGAGCUUAAUACAAAUUGUUGCAGUAUUUGCUGACUCCCUAGGGCUAUUUGUCCUUGUCCCAACUGUCAAGAAACCAUCAUAGCCUCUUAAGAUCAGGGCGCUGCUCACGCUCCAUGAGGGUUGUGGCAGCCCCUCUGUGGCCUGGGGUCUGACUUUAUUCCUGCCCUGCUCUGGGCAGAUGGUCCACCUGCUCCAAGUGGUAAGGGGACCAAAAUCUUGUGCCUGUAAACACAGCUUCUCUCUCAUAUCUCUCCAGGUAUUUCUGUUAUGUUGCAAGCAAUGUCUGCCAGCGAAAUCGCAUAGAA
rnacentral:lncRNA from 1 species